UCCCCGGUUGCUCUGCUGGUAGGGGCCGCCUGACUUUGAAUCAGGACAAGGGACGUAGGUUCGAUUCCUACCCGGGGAG
rnacentral:tRNA from 1 species